rnacentral:rRNA from 1 species
CCAGCAGCUGCGGUAAUUCCGGCUCCAAUAGCGUAUAUUCCAGUUGUUGCAGUUAAAACGCUCGUAGUCUGAGAUGGUGUGGGGAGGGGGUGGAUGUUGUGAAAUAUUCCCCUUUUCGCACUCGUUCUGACAGCAAUGUCGGUGUUACUUUGAGGAAAUUAGGGUGUUCAAGGCAGGCGUGUGCUUGGAUAUCGCAGCAUGGAAUAACGGAGUAGGAUUCGCUUCUUAUUUUGUUGGUUUGGGGGAGUGAGUAAUGAUUAAUAGGGGCAGUUGGGGGCAUUGGUAUUUGGUAGUCAGAGGUGAAAUUCUUGGAUUUACCAAAGACUAACUGGUGCGAAAGCGUUUGCCAAGGAUGUUUUCAUCGAUCAAGAACGAAAGU